rnacentral:lncRNA from 1 species
AUAUAUAUAUGUGCAUGCGCGCUAAACAAGAUGAGACAGAUUAGUAACAAACCCCUCAAAUAUUUUAUAUUAAGUUGUAACGUUCAAAGAUAUUUGGAAUAUCGAACGUCGCCUUCUAGCAUGAUAGAAAUAAUAGAGUAUUGAAUAUUUAAUAUGAGUUUGUUGUGCACACACAAGGCAAGUAUUAAAUAUUUAAGAUGUUUUUAUUACAUAUGAUGUUUAUAAGAAAAUGAACAUUACUGCUUUGUUGUGCACACACAAGGGUUGUAGUUUUCUCUUCACUUAUAUGGAAAUGUUGGGUCU